UAGGGAAUCUUCCACAAUGGGCGGAAGCCUGAUGGAGCAACGCCGCGUGUGUGAUGAAGGGUUUCGGCUCGUAAAACACUGUUGUAAGAGAAGAAUGACAUUGAGAGUAACUGUUCAAUGUGUGACGGUAUCUUACCAGAAAGGAACGGCUAAAUACGUGCCCG
rnacentral:rRNA from 1 species